rnacentral:rRNA from 1 species
AUGUCGGUGGAGCAUCUGCUGCAUGCAAUGGUGGAAAAGCUGAAAUUGGAACCUGUCCUGGAGAUGGGUCGGUUGCUUGGCAUUGGAAGCCUACUUCAGGACUUGCAGAAAUAUUUCAGUAUGAUCCAUGGGAAGAUCAGUGGCAUCGAUGAGAGUGCAGUUCUUAUGAUCAACGUCAACAACGAGCAGUACCUCCAGCUCCUGCAGAGGCUCUGGUCUCUCACACUUGAUACUGAUGACGCGCUGAAUAGGAUCUCUCGCCAUCUGAGAAAAAAGGGGGGCAUUUUCUCAUUUCAUCAGGUACGCAGAUCGCCCAUCUUUCGGAGGCUCCAUUUUCGCCGUGUCAAUAAGAUAAGAGAGGCAGUAGCUAGCUUGGAAAACUGCUAUGCACAAAUAUAUAGAAUCAGACUUCCAGCCAAACAUACAGAUAUCCAGGAAGCUAUGAGUUGCCAGAGAACAUGUGGCGAACCUGAAGGUGUACUUGGUAGAGAGAGAGAAUUGGACGAUGUCCUAAGAAUGAUGCAAACUGAUGACAGCACACCCGCUUGUCAAUUCUCCCCAUAA